rnacentral:tRNA from 1 species
GCCACUUUAGUUCAACGGUAGAACGGUUGCCUUGUAAGCAUCAGAAGGUGUUUCGACUACGCCAAGUGGCACCA